GGGGGGGGGGGGGGGGGGGGGGGGGGGGGGGGGGGGGGGGGGGCGGAGGGGGGGCUUGCUGCGCGGAGGUGGGCGGCGGACGGGGGAGGGAGCCGUGGGGAAGCCACCUCUCCGAGUGGGAUCACUUGGGGAAGCCGGAGCUAAUACCGGCGGAUAUUUUGACCGGCAUGGUUCGAGCGUGCGAGCCGUUCUUGCGUGACCGUCUAUCUGUGUCGGCGCUGCGGUAGCUAGUUGGUAAGGGAAUGGCUUGCCAAGGCAACGGUGCCUAGCCGACCUCAGAGGGUGAUCGGCCACACUGGAACUGAGACAAGGUCCAGACUCCUACGGGAGGCAGCAGUAGGGAAUCUUCCUCAAUGGGCGAACGCCUGACGGAGCAACGCCGCGUGAGGGAUGAAGGUCUUCGGAUCGUAAAACUCUGUUAUUAGGGAAGAACAUAUGUGUAAGUAACUGUGCACAGCUUGACGGUACCUAAUCAGAAAGCCACGGCUAACUACGUG
rnacentral:rRNA from 1 species